AAAGUUAGUGGAUUUCCAUUUUUGUAAGAAGUGCCUAAGAAAUGCUUGUUAAGUUUCUGAACUGGUGAUGGGGAAUUCUAAAUUUGGUGCCAACUUUGUGCGUGAAGAAGCGAACUUCUGCCAAUGGGUUUGCUAAAUGAAAAGCCACAGGCUAUAUACUUCCCCUAUUCUCAGCGUUACAAAAGCCCUUUUAGCACCAAUAGCGUAGCGCCAGGUGAGUCUUUGAUCUGGGCUGUUUCCCUGGGAAUUCGAGCCCGACUGUCCUUUCCAAGUAGAAUUUCCAGGCUCAGGGCCCACUCCUCCCCGUUAAUGAUUUCCUUUUUUCCAUCGCCCCAUUUUGCUCCCUCUUUUAGUAAAAGUUGAACACUCUGGAAUUAUGUAAUGUGGUCCUUAGUUUUUCGUCGCUGUGCUUCAAAUUCGGGGAUACAUUCGUGUUUACCCCAAAAAGGGGCAUUCCUCAAAUGCUCCUUAUCUCGACCCAUAUAAUACGCCUUGCAGUUAACAUUACCCAUCUCCGCAAAUGAUCCAUUUGUCUACCCAGAGCUCAAGCCAAAACUGGGCAUUAUCUCUUAAUUCCCUGGAGUCCUCUCUCCUCUCUUAAAUCCAUCUGGAAUCCUUCUACCUCCUCCACGCCAGCUUUCUGCUUUCCUAGAUCCUGUUAGCUCCCCUCUGAAGGAUCACAGCAACUUCCUAACUCACGCUUUCUCUACCUACCAGUUGUGACUUAUUCAGGGGUCAUGAACUCAAUUGAGGUGGGUCAUGCAGUUGCACCAUUUAAAGAAUGAAGUAGAUGAGAAAACGAGAUCGCGUCAGACAAAGGAAAAAAGCAAGGGUUGGAGAUGCUGAGCAGAAGCUGUCAACUCUGCAGCUGACAGGUCUGCCCACAGAAGUCUCGCAUGAAGUCUAGGGCUUUGGAGAUUCUGAAUAACUGGGUUCCUGCUCACUUUUCAAAAGGGCUUUGGAACUCUGCAUCCUCCCGACCACUUUUACUCUUCCUUAUUAAAACCAUCAACUUCCCUGGAAAGAAAAAGGGGACUUAUAAAAUAAAACAACAACCUCUUGAAUGGAUUCCUGCCCAGACAGGUCCUGACUUUUAGAAGAAAAGUCUUGCUGUUGUUUGCUAUUAUGUGGAGAGACGUUCAAAAUUCCUUUUUAUACUGGAAAUGAAAAAGUAAAGAAAUCUGCACAUUCCGAUGACCCCUGGUAGUGGUCAUUCCACCAACGCCCAUGGGACUGACACAGCCUUCCUGAAGGUUCCAACAAGCACAUCCUUAUCCCUUUCUUAGUGCUGGGGCCCUGCCGCCUUGAUUCAUAAACCACGCUCGAGGUGAAAGCUGCAUCUCGCUGGGAGGAGACGUGGCCCCAGUUCUUGCAACUCCUUCCCCCGGUGUCCCCCCGCCAGGACCACACUCACAGAAGUACCUGUGUCUUCGCUGCUUGACUGACUUACUUUCGUUGCGGAGUCUGGGCUUAGACAACUUGCUGCAUUAAGUAGAAAGACACAACAGAAAUUCACCUCUUCAGGGAAAAAAAAAACAACUAAAUUCUGUAAUUUAGAAGCCAGUGUGUUGCUGCUUUUUUCUCUGAACUGAUCAGCAGUAGCUUGUCUCUGUUUGGCAGAAAUCUGACAGAAAAUUAUGAUAAGAAAUUGAUGUGAAAGUGCAUUCUAACAAAAAAGUCGCUGCUGUAAUUCUGUACAAGACUACUGUAUACUGUGGUAUCAAGUUAGAGCCAGGUGAUGUGCUUAUGGAUGAUUUUUACUUUAUUCUUUGGGCUUCUCUCAAUUUUCCAAUUAAAAAAAAUCAUUACUGUUGUAAUCAUAAAAACA